CCUUAUUUCUGAGCCCAGACACACCUCCUUUCCCCUUCACCUACCCUGCAUUCCUGUUCCUGCUGGCUCUGCACCCUGGAGGGGAGUCGGAGAUGACCCAGCAGGUCGCCUGGAAUACACGGCUGCUUCCCAGGGGCGGGACGGAUGGUGUUUGCUUUUCAGCCAACUGUCUUUGUGACUCAGAGGCCGAGGCACCCAGGAAGGAGAGGGCAGAAGACCCAGAUGUGGGGUGAGGAUGAGCCGAGCGUGGAGCACGACCUGGUGGCCCCAGCUGCUGAAGGUGACCUUCCAGUCCACGUGGCCCCUGGUUGUUGUGAAGAAAGCCGUCCUGCUAGUGCUGGCGUAAAUCACCACUGCACGUGCCUCCCUCAUAGGCCAUAUGGACCUUCCUGUCGGGCCGGGACAGGCUUAAAUUAUGACAUUUUUCAUCUUGAUUGACAAUUACCUUCCCCUGGAAGUUG